AGCGGUGUGGGCCGCCAUCUUGGGUAAGGGCAGCGACUGUGGCUGAGGCUGGGUACUGCUAGCUGAAUGGGGUUCGGCCACGCCUUACAUCUGUUGAGUUGACCCGCGUACCCCUGCCCUGGGCCCCAGGCUCCCUCGAAAACCCCUGCUGAUCUCCUCGCCCGGACUCCGACUCGUGGUGCAGGAGUUCUGGGGUCAGCCAAGACAACAGGUUAGGCAGGAAGGGCGGGCGGCCGCAGGCAAGGCUCAAAGAGGUUUCUUUUUUCUUCUUUCAUUCGCGUGGGCAACGGAUCCAACCUUUGAAAGCCCACCUGCUGAUCCUCCACCUGACCGGAGCCCGCCGUGCAUAGGCUGAUAGGAGACGUGCGGGGUGGACGGACUGCGGGACAUCUGAAGGAAGGGCUCAAGGCGCGCCAAGCUCAAAGCUGGGCCGCCACUCUAGACCGUGGAGGGAAGCGCCCGGGCCAGAUCAUCGGUCGAGGACAUGGGGUCGCCUCAGAGUGGGAAGGUGAGGGGCUCGGGAGGUGCCCUUACAAGCUCUGAAUCGUGGCUUGGUGGCUGGCCAGCCUCCUCCUGCCUCCCCGGCUAGGCCCUCGGGGUCCCCCGCUGCCGUGGGACCUCCUGAGUGGGGUCCCGGGAAUCACCAGAGAAGCACUGGAGGAUGUUUCCUUUUCGACUGCCCUCCUUUCAAGUGCCCUCCUGGCUGCCUGCCUUCAAGGCAGGAUGCGGGAACCGUUGGCUCUACUCAGUGCAAAAAGGACAUGUCUAUAGGGCUAAAAAGGGCUUGGAGCCCGGCGACAAGGGUUGGAGAGGGGCACAUCCUCUGCUCCCAUUCAGUGAAUUCAGUGGAUCAGUAUCACGUAUUUAUCUUUAAUUCACAUCACAGCAGUCAAGGAAGUGGGGAAAGGGGGAAAAAAAAUCAAGUGGCAGAUAUUUACAUCUAAAAUUCACAUUACUUGUUGGAUUUUGAACAUGCUACCACAAUAUAUACAGUAAAAUACCUCUUGGGACAAUGGUACAAAUUUUGUUUCCUUUAACUUUGCUUUUCUGGUACAGGUAAGAUCAUUUUUAAAUCACUUUUUUUCUUUAAACAUGAAUACACAAAAGAAAUGGUUAGAAGUUUCCUUGUUUUAAAUAAGCACAGAAUGCGGGAGGUUAAAAACACAUUUAUAGUGCUGAAUACCAAUUGGACAUCACACUCUAUACAUUUUUUGCUCAAAUUCCUGUACAAAUACACAGCAUUCAAAUAGGUAUUUACAAAUAAGCUUGAAAGAAUGAAAAUCAGUAUUUUACAAUCUUUUCAAAGGGUUCUCAUCUCUGGCCUCCCAUUUCCCCUCAGACUGACUUAUUCUCCAACAAAAGGGAUUUCAGAAUGUGUCCUUUUCAUUUAGUUAGGGAAAAUGGAGAGGGAAAACAAACGGUUUCACCUUGCAUAAUGCGAAGCCAAAUGAACCCAUACUCCCCUCCCUACCUCUUGUGCCACCAAGUGGAGAAGGUAGCUGUUCUUAUGUGAUGACUGCCUUGUCCAGGGAUUGACUUUCAGAAGUGCCUUAAAAUCUAAGCCCUCCUACCUAUGAAUCAAAUCCAAAACUAGCCCCUAACCCCUAACCCUCUAACACCUGUGAACACCAGAUGGUCCAGAGAUUGAAGCUUGCAAAUGAAUGUAGGCUGAGAAGCAGGCCAGCCCUUUGAGGUGAGGGCUGCUGUAACUGACCCAUAUCCUCAGCAGCCUUCCGCCCCACUCUGCCUGGAGUGAACCUGGUGGUAUCAGAAGGGACCCACACUGGUGAUAAACCCCCAGAAAAACCCUGGAGGUAAUUUAGACCUCCAUCUUUCCCAGUAGGUUAUUAGCAUUUCUGUUAAACAAGCUGGGGUUUGUUUACAAGAGAAAAACACACUGACCAUGGCCUUUACUGUCUGGAAAGAGGGGCAGUGGAGAAGGGACAAGGGGCUUGGGCCCAGGGCCUGGCUGUGGAGGUCAUACAGGCCAGCAGAAGAGGAACUGGGGGCAAUACGCCUGCCCAACAAGGCAGCCUUGUGACCAUCAUUAAUGUGAACUCGAGCAAAUAAAAGAAAAAAAAUAUUUUGUAGGCUUUUUUUAAAGUAACUUAAAAGCACCCUGGUAAAGUACUACUAUACCCACCUGACCCUAUCCCCCCAAAUAAUAAACUGAGAGGAAAAUCA
ensembl:lncRNA novel transcript, antisense to DOCK3